rnacentral:rRNA from 1 species
AGUGAACGCUGGCGGUAGGCCUAACACAUGCAAGUCGAACGGCAGCACAGUAAGAGCUUGCUCUUACGGGUGGCGAGUGGCGGACGGGUGCGGAAUACAUCGGAAUCUACUUUUUCGUGGGGGAUAACGUAGGGAAACUUACGCUAAUACCUCAUACUACCUACGGGUGAAAGCAGGGGAUCUUCGGACCUUGCGCGAUUGAAUAAGCCGAUGUCGGAUUAGCUAGUUGGCGGGGUAAAGUCCCACCAAGACGACCAUCCGUAGCUGGUCUGAGAGGAUGAUCAGCCACACUGGAACCUAGACAUGGUCCAGACUCCUACGGGAGGCUGCUGUGCGGAAUAUUGGACAAUGGGCGUAAGCCUGAUCCAGCCAUACCGCGUGGGUGAAAUAGGUCUUCGGUUUGUAGAGCCCUUUUGUUGGGGAAGAAAAGCAGCAGGUUAAUACCCCGCUGUUCUGACGGUACCCAAAGAAUAAGCACCGGCUAACUUCGGG